GGUGAUAGUUGCUGUGGGCGUGGCCUGGCGUGAGGGGAGGCGCUUAAAGGCUCGGAGGCGCUGCCGAAGACGUUUGAAUUGAGGGGAGAGAAGCGUCCAAACCUCAACGAGAAAACCUCAAAGGUUAAAAAAUAACGAAUUUGAAAGUUUUUAACCCCCCAAAAACGAGGUUGGGGAGGGUUUUUAGGGGUCCCCCGUGGUUCUGGGGGUGGCGGGGGUGGCCCUGCGGGGUCCCUCGCGGCAUUUUUGGCAAUAAAAGACGUCGGGGACGUUGUUUUUCUUCACCUUGGCACAGGAAAGGUGAAUCCAGGUGCCACAUUGGCUACACUCGAUCAUGGGCCGACCAGCAAAAGGUUUUUGGCAGUAGCAGGUGAUUAAAUCCCAAGAAUCGUCGCCUAAAAAUAUUAAAAAGUGAAUUAAAAUGUUAUAAAAGUUAUCAGGGGAUGGGAAAAAUAAUGGAAAAGGGGAAAAUAAAGAGGUGAAGUGAAA